rnacentral:pre_miRNA from 1 species
CGAGUCUGACCGGGCGUAAGCUUGUAAAGUAAUAGUUUGCGACCGGAAUGAUUCUU